rnacentral:rRNA from 1 species
UACGUAGGGGGCAAGCGUUGUCCGGAAUUAUUGGGCGUAAAGGGCUUCGUAGGCGGUUUGUCGCGUCGGGGAGUGAAAACACCGGGCUUAACUCGGUGCUUGCUUUCGAUACGGGCAGACUAGAGGCAUGCAGGGGAGAACGGAAUUCCUGGUGUAGCGGUGAAAUGCGCAGAUAUCAGGAGGAACACCGGUGGCGAAGGCGGUUCUCUGGGCGAUGUCCUGACGCUGAGGAGCGAAAGUGUGGGGAGCGAACAGG